GAUGAAGAACGUAGCGAAAUGCGAUAAGUAAUGUGAAUUGCAGAAUUCAGUGAAUCAUCGAAUCUUUGAACGCACCUUGCACCCUUUGGUAUUCCGAAGGGUAUGCUCGUUUGAGUGUCAUUGUACUCUCACACUUCUAAUUCCUUUCGGGAUUGGGAGCGGUGGACUUGGGUGUUGCUGCUUUAGUUGUGGCUCACCUCAAAUAAGUUAGUGCAACUCUUGGUUGGACAUAGUACGGCGUGAUAAGUGUCUUCGCCGGCGCCUCUGUAAGGAGGGUGGCCGAUCGGGAGCUCUGUGCUUCAAACCGUCUUCGGACAAUCUUUGACAACUUGACCUCAUAUCGAGUAGGACUACCCGCUGAACUUAAGCAUAUCAAUAAGCGGAGGA
rnacentral:misc_RNA from 1 species